rnacentral:rRNA from 1 species
UACAGAGGUCUCAAGCGUUGUCCGGAUUUAUUGGGCGUAAAGAGCUCGUAGGCGGUUGGGUAAGUCGGGUGUGAAAACUCCAGGCUCAACUUGGAGAUGCCACCCGAUACUGCUCUGACUUGAGUUCGGUAGGGGAGUGGGGAAUUCCUGGUGUAGCGGUGAAAUGCGCAGAUAUCAGGAGGAACACCGGUGGCGAAGGCGCCACUCUGGGCCGAAACUGACGCUGAGGAGCGAAAGCGUGGGUAGCAAACAGG